ACACUUGUGGCAAAAUAAGUUGCCUUUGGCCACGCAGGAGACUGAGAGACUUGGCUGGUGACAAGGAAGCAUGUAUGGACAUGGAAUCAGGUCCUGAGCAAGCAGGCGGUCCUCCAAGGCGGUGGAAUUGGCCCUGGAUCAUCAUCACAGCUAAGCCGGCCCCCAGCCCCCUCCCAAGGGGUCUUCUGCUGGCACCACCACCACCACCACCCAGAAGGAGAGGUGGGUUGCCGAGUGGUCUGCUUUGGCCUGGCUUCACCAGGGAUGGAAGAUACUUGCAAGGUCCAGAGCCGUGGCUGACAUUGAAUGGGGGCCCACAGAGAGGUCUACAUUAAAUUCCUGGAACCCGUGAAUGUGAUCUUAUUUGAGGGCAGGGCCUCCUCCCUUUUGUCUUCCUGCUGGGCUCCAGGCUCCUGAGAAGCAAAGCAGUGUCUCCCUUGGUCACUGCCCCCAGGCGCCAGCCAACGGCCAGCACUGCACGCUUUUCACUUCAUCGCAUUUCAUUUAUGUGAUGUUCUGGAAGAUGCCUAGCUGAUCCAUGAUGAAACAAAAUUCAGAAGGUUAGUCGCCCAGGGUGGAGUGAAAAAAAGUUUAAGGACAGAAGAUGAUGCUGAAAAAAUAAAAUCAGCUCUAAAGUAAGUAUAUCUUUCAGUUCCCCAUCCCAAAAAUAGAUGAUAGGCAAGAAAAAUGGGAUAAAUGUUGACUGUGUUGAACACCACUGCAGGGAUGCUGUUAACAACAGCAGUUAUAGACUAUCAAGUUUGAGGCUCAUUGCUGUCCCCACCUGCUAUGCCACACAUUAUCCCCCUUUGCAUUGUCAGUCACUGCCUGUGAGCCAUGUGGAUGUGGUCAGUCUUGAGGAGCCCCCACGGCCCUGCACGAUGCAGUGGGCUUGGUGGAGAAUGCCCCCCAGAGCUGCCUGCAGCCCCACGGCUGCUCCAGGCCCAGCCUCUGCUCAGCAGGUUUCUGACUUCAGUAAAUGGUUUCAUAUCCUCCCUCUUUUAUGUAGUUGGUGAAUUUAAAAUGGGCACCAUAUGGUCUUUUUUGUAACCUCAAGAAAGGUUCUCUGGGUUUACAGUAAUGACACAUCUAGCAUUAGAUUGAACCAUUUUUACUUUUAUUUUUAACUAAACAGGCCUUCCUUUGGAAUUUUUGCAUAUACAAUGCUAUUUCCAGAAUUGAACCCUAACAUUAGUACAAUUCCAUAGGGCAAAGGUAUCCUGACAGUGUGGCAUUAUAGCAAUAGUAAUUUUUUAUAUUAUUGGCAAUAAUAUUUUAUGUAAAAGUUUUAACAUUUACAAAAUGCUAGUAUAUCUAUUAUCCAAAUAUAUCAUUUUGAUGUCAUUAAUGAAUUAACUAGUGAUACAUUGUGUGCUUUGUAGAUCAAAUAACCCCUCUUAAAUAUCAGUUUAUGGAGGGAAACCAU
rnacentral:lncRNA from 1 species